rnacentral:rRNA from 1 species
UGGCGUAAACAGAGGGAAGCGAGCCCGCGAGGGGGAGCGAAUCCCAAAAACAACGUCCCAGUUCGGAUUGUAGUCUGCAACCCGACUACAUGAAGGCGGAAUCGCUAGUAAUCGCGGAUCAGAAUGUCGCGGUGAAUACGUUCCCGGGUCUUGUACACACCGCCCGUCACACCAUGGGAGUCAGUAACGCCCGAAGCCGGUGACCCAACCGAUUCAGGAGGGAGCCGUCGAAGGUGGGACCGAUAACUGGGGUGAAGUCGUAACAAGGUACC